UGCAUGUUGAACAGACCAGAUUCCCUC
rnacentral:piRNA from 1 species